AUAGUUCGAUCCUGGCUCAGAGCGAACGUUGGCGGCGUGCUUAACACAUGCAAGUCUUGGGAGAAAGUUUCUUCGGAAACGAGUAAACCGGCGCACGGGUGCGUAACACGUGGGUAAUCAACCCUUUAGUCUGGAAUAACUCGCCGAAAGGCGUGCUAAUGCCGGAUAGUUAGAUACUUCCUGAGGGUGGUAUCUAUAAAGACGGUUUCGGCUGUCGCUAGAGGACGAGCCCGCGGCCCAUUAGCUAGUAGGUGGGGUAAUGGCCUACCUAGGCUACGAUGGGUAGCUGGUCUGAGAGGAUGAUCAGUCACACUGGCACUGAAACACGGGCCAGACUCCUACGGGAGGCAGCAGUGAGGAAUUUUGCGCAAUGGGCGAAAGCCUGACGCAGCGACGCCGCGUGAGGGACGAAGGCCUUUGGGUCGUAAACCUCUGUCAGUAGGGAAGAAAAGCAGAUCAGUAACUGGGUCUGUCCUGACGGUACCUACAAAGGAAGCACCGGCUAACUCCGUGCCAGCAGCCGCGGUAAUACGGAGGGUGCAAACGUUGCUCGGAUUUACUGGGCGUAAAGGGAGCGCAGGCGGCUUGUUAAGUCUGAUGUGAAAGCCCGAGGCUCAACCUCGGAGCUGCAUUGGAUACUGGCAAGCUUGAGUAUGUUAGAGGAGAGCGUAAUACCUGGUGUAGCGGUGAAAUGCGUUGAGAUCAGGUGGAACACCGGUGGCGAAGGCGGCUCUCUGGGGCAUUACUGACGCUGAGGCUCGAAAGCGUGGGGAUCAAACAGGAUUAGAUACCCUGGUAGUCCACGCCCUAAACGAUGAGUACUAGGUGUCUCAACUUUGACCGUUGGGGUGCCGAAGCUAACGCAUUAAGUACUCCGCCUGGGGACUACGGCCGCAAGGCUAAAACUCAAAGGAAUUGACGGGGACCCGCACAAGUGGUGGAGCAUGUGGUUUAAUUCGAUGAUACGCGAAGAACCUUACCUGGGCUUGACAUCCUGAGAAUCUGAUAGAGAUAUCGGAGUGCCUUCGGGAAUUCAGUGACAGGUGCUGCACGGCUGUCGUCAGCUCGUGUCGUGAGAUGGGUUAAGUCCCGCAACGAGCGCAACCCCUGUCUCUAUUUGCUAACAUUUAGUUGAGAACUAUAGAGAGACUGCCCCGGUCAACGGGGAGGAAGGAGGGGACGACGUCAAGUCAUCAUGGCCCUUAUGCCCAGGGCUACACACGUGCUACAAUGGCGGAUACAAAGGGUAGCCAACCCGCGAGGGGGAGCCAAUCCCAUAAAGUCCGCCCCAGUUCGGAUUGUAGUCUGCAACUCGACUACAUGAAGUUGGAAUCACUAGUAAUCGCGGAUCAGCUACGCCGCGGUGAAUGCGUUCCCGGGUCUUGUACACACCGCCCGUCACACCACGAGAGUCGGCGGCGCUGGAAAACAGUGGUCUAACCUUCGGGAGGAAGCUGUUUAAGGCGAAUCCGGUGAUUGGGGUGAAGUCGUAACAAGGUA
rnacentral:rRNA from 1 species